GCGGUAAUAAUACAUCGGUAGUAUGCGGGCUUCCCAAGCCCGACAGGCGGGUUCGACUCCCGUUUACCGCU
rnacentral:tRNA from 2 species